UACAGAGGGUGCGAGCGUUGUUCGGAAUUAUUGGGCGUAAAGCGCACGUCGGUGGCUCGUUAAGUCGGACUGUGAAAGACCGGGGCUCAACCCCGGGGCUGCAGCGGAUACUGGCGGACUUGAGACACGUAGAGGCGAGUGGAAUUCCGGGUGUAGCGGUGGAAUGCGUAGAGAUCCGGAAGAACACCGGUGGCGAAGGCGGCUCGCUGGGCGUGGUCUGACACUGAGGUGCGAAGGCGUGGGGAGCGAACAGG
rnacentral:misc_RNA from 1 species